rnacentral:rRNA from 1 species
UACGUAGGGUGCGAGCGUUGUCCGGAAUUACUGGGCGUAAAGAGCUCGUAGGUGGUUUGUCGCGUUGUCCGUGAAAACUCACAGCUUAACUGUGGGCGUGCGGGCGAUACGGGCAGACUGGAGUACUGCAGGGGAGACUGGAACUCCUGGUGUAGCGGUGGAAUGCGCAGAUAUCAGGAGGAACACCGGUGGCGAAGGCGGGUCUCUGGGCAGUAACUGACGCUGAGGAGCGAAAGCGUGGGGAGCGAACAGG